GAUUAUGGAAAUGUAUACAAAAAUAGAUUGCUAGAUGGUGUGAAAUCUUUCAAUCGUGGGAAGUUUGAUGUCAGUAACCUGGAAGACAUUUUAGAAAACAUGAAAAUCAAGCUCCCAGAUGAGAAGCUUAAAGAUUUGUCACAAAACCUACCAACUGAUGCUUCUGGGAUGGCUGAUCUGCAUAAACUGCUAAAGGAAAUUAAGAAAUUCACAGGAGGAAAAGUUGAAGCCAAGGACAUACACAAAACACUGGGAAACAUGGGGAUAGAGCUUACAGAUAGAGAGCU